UACGUAGGUGGCGAGCGUUGUCCGGAUUUACUGGGCGUAAAGGGAGCGUAGGCGGAUUUUUAAGUGAGAUGUGAAAUACUCGGGCUCAACUUGAGUGCUGCAUUUCAAACUGGAAGUCUAGAGUGCAGGAGAGGAGAAUGGAAUUCCUAGUGUAGCGGUGAAGUGCGUAGAGAUUAGGAAGAACACCAGUGGCGAAGGCGAUUCUCUGGACUGUAACUGACGCUGAGGCUCGAAAGCGUGGGGAGCAAACAGG
rnacentral:rRNA from 1 species